GCGAAGUUCUAUUGUAUUGAUAUCCCUCAAAUGGGCAAAAGGAAAAAAAAAUGUAUUGAUAUUUUCCUGUGCUACUUUUUUCCUACCUACUUUGUUAGAAUUUGUAACUUACAAAUACAUCGAGAUAUUCAACUGGUAAAACUUCCAAAACCAUUAUGUGUUUUGGAUAAAGCCGAAAUGAUAAAAAGUUUGUGAACAAUGUGUUAGAUGCUGAUCGACUUUGUGUGUAACUCAUACUAAGAGAUGCAAGCAACAAUAACAAGUCUCCUGAUGAAUGUUCCAGUCCGAGAGUUGGAAGCAAUGUGUCUGUAUAAGUUGUGGAAUAUCUUUGGGAAGGCAUACAAGAAGACAAAAUCACAGGCCAUAAGCUUAGGGAAAGAAAUGAAGAGUGACAUUAUAUAGAAAAACAAAAAUAUCUCCGAGACAGAUGCCUGAUGGAUGCCCAUGUAUGCAUUGUUUGCAGGAUGAGCUCACCUCAAAAACAUUAAUAUCUAGUGAACAUAAAACCUGUGUUAAGUGUGCCGUUGCAAUGUAUGUAGUUCUAUUUAUGUUCAUAGAUGUUGGUAAACUAUGAGCUUAAAUCACUUUAUAAUUUAUUUUAUCAAAUCAUUAAAUUGAUAAAAAGCUAAUUAUGUAUAUUUUAAUGUUACAUACAUACAUACAUACAUAAACUCACACCCGUAAUCCCAAAUGGGGUGGGCAGAGCCACAAGUAAUCAAAGACAACUUGCAGCCACUGUUGAUACGAAGUCCUAAGAUGGAUAUGAUGAACCUUAUGGUGAUAAGGGAUCAGCCUAUCGCCCAUAACAUUAGUCCAUCAUGUUAGAGGACGCAAUAAUUUCAAUCGCAAUAAUUUUAAUGUUAUUGUUAAGUUUAUUCUACGUAUACCUACUUACUAAUCAUCAUCAUCAUCAAUUUAAGAGCCACGCUCUUGUCGGUGUAGCAUUUUACUUACUAAUAUGUUACCAUAUUAAGUCUGUUCAAAAAUCAUAAAUAGGUACUUAUUCUAUCAUGUAGGUUGUAAGGUGGAUGACCAACCUCGUUAACCAGGGUUAUUGCUGAGCCGCCAAAGUCAUUUGAUCAGCCAGCCAUGUCCUAACCAAACCGGGGAUCACAAAGUGAUUUCUGUCUUAUAUCCCCACCGGGAUUUGAACCCGGGACCUCCGGAAUGUCAGGCACUGGGCCACAUAGGCCGAGAGUAUAUACUCUAGUUUAGUUGCUGUUUUAUUUCAACUAUUUCAUUAAAUGUAGAAAUAUUUUGUAUGAGUAUGAGUUAUAUAAUAAAACAAAUUAU